AGUCAGCCGACCCGAGGAACUGAGAGAAGAUGAUGUUGGUACAGGAGCAGGCUUAUUGGAAAUCAAGAAGAUUGGAGAUGAGUACUUCACAUUCAUCACUGACUGCAAAGACCCAAAGGCCUGCACCAUUCUUCUUAGAGGAGCCAGCAAAGAGAUACUAUCGGUGAGUGAGCCUUGGCAACGUGACCAAGGGAAGGACAUUGUUCCAUCCUAGAAUUGUCACCACUGUAACAAGCUUAAAAGAAAAUGAUGUGGGUUGGGGAUUUAGCUCAGUGGUAGAGCGCUUGC
rnacentral:lncRNA from 1 species